rnacentral:lncRNA from 1 species
UUGAAAAAUCACCACUCACUGUGGUCAUUGAUGGUCUGAGCAAAGUUAACCAAAUAUUCAGUUACCUGAGAGUUUCUAUGCACAGACCACCCAGGGGACUUUGCCACAGUACUACAAAUUCUGGGUGUGAAGUGAUUUGGAAAACCUCUGUAGGAAGAAAAUAAUCAAAAUUCAAGGGAAAGUUAAGGAAAGCCUAACUAGGCAGUAUUAGAGUGAGUAUUAAGCAUUCUUUCAUGUGGGAUCGUUUCCUAUCCCAGCUCAGCUCCAAAAAUAGCAACACCUUUGCUAAGUAAAACUGGUGUAUUUUGACUAUAUGCUGAUGACAUGGAGGAAUAGUCAGUUUUGUAAAUCAGAGAUUUUGUUUAUGCUGCAUUUGUGCAGCAACUAUUUUUUAGAGAUGUCUAUGCAUUAGAAACCAGCAGGCUUUUUCACAGUCCAUUUUAUUUGGGUUAGCAAGUAUAUUGAAUUUAAGAAUGAGGUGAGAUGUUUUCUGUGUUUUACUUUCAAUAGUUUCAAGUUGAUCAAAUCCAUUUCAGAAUGUUCCUCAGUUUAUGCAGAAUCACUUCAAAUAAGUCAAAUGGAAAAUUGACUGAGACAAGAGAACCCAGCAAGUGAGGAUCCAAAUUGAAACACUAAGUCAUGUCUACAUGCUCCUGAGAGGAAACUUCUGAGAGUGCCAAAUCCAGUCAGGCCUCCAUAUGAUUGACAAGGAUGCCAUCGCCACCAAAGAGAAGUGCAAGACCUGGCAUGAUCACUCAGCAGAGGUGCUCAGAGACACCCAGAGAGUCAAUGGUGCUUGGUUCAGGAAGAGAUGGGGGAGAAGUGAAUACUCUUUAUUUUAUAGUGGCAGACGCUAGGUUUUGUGCCACCUGCAAGUAGAAGGCACAGGAGUAUGGUGAGGUCUGUAAUACUYGUGGUGGGUCUGGAUGAAAGCAGUGGCCCGUUA